rnacentral:rRNA from 1 species
UACGUAGGGUCCGAGCGUUAAUCGGAAUUACUGGGCGUAAAGCGUGCGCAGGCGGUUUUGUAAGCCAGAUGUGAAAGCCCCGGGCUUAACCUGGGAAUGGCAUUUGGGACUGCAAGGCUGGAGUACGGCAGAGGGAGGUGGAAUUCCACGUGUAGCGGUGAAAUGCGUAGAUAUCGAGAGGAACACCUGCGGCGAAGGCGGGUUGCUGGGCUGACACUGACGCUGAUGCGCGAAAGCCAGGGGAGCGAACGGG